GAUGAACGCUGGCGGCGUGCCUAAUACAUGCAAGUCGAGCGAACGGACGAGAAGCUUGCUUCUCUGAUGUUAGCGGCGGACGGGUGAGUAACACGUGGAUAACCUACCUAUAAGACUGGGAUAACUUCGGGAAACCGGAGCUAACACCGGAUAAUAUUUUGAACCGCAUGGUUCAAAAGUGAAAGACGGUCUUGCUGUCACUUAUAGAUGGAUCCGCGCUGCAUUAGCUAGUUGGUAAGGUAACGGCUUACCAAGGCAACGAUGCAUAGCCGACCUGAGAGGGUGAUCGGCCACACUGGAACUGGAACACGGUCCAGACUCCUGCGGGAGGCAGCAGUAGGGAAUCUUCCGCAGUGGGCGAGAGCCUGACGGAGCGACGCCGCGUGAGUGAUGAAGGUCUUCGGAUCGUAAAACUCUGUUAUUAGGGAAGAACAUAUGUGUAAGUAGCUGUGCACAUCUUGACGGUACCUAAUCAGAAAGCCACGGCUAACUACGUG
rnacentral:rRNA from 1 species